rnacentral:rRNA from 1 species
AUUGAACGCUAGCGGGAUGCCUUACACAUGCAAGUCGAACGGAGUGGCGAACGGGUGAGUAAUGUAUCGGGACGUGCCCAGUAGCGGGGGAUACCUACGCGAAAGCGUAGCUAAUACCGCAUACUAUUGGAGCGGCCGAUUUCGGAUUAGCUAGUUGGUGGGGUAACGGCUCACCAAGGCGACGAUCCGUAGCUGGUUUGCGAGUACGACCAGCCAAACUGGGACUGGGACACGGCCCAGACUCCUACGUGAGGCAGCAGUGGGGAAUUUUGGACAAUGGGGGAAACCCUGAUCCAGCCAUCCCGCUUGUGCGAUGAAGGCCUUCUGGUUGUAAAGCACUUUUGGCAGGAAAGCGGUACCUGCAGAAUAAGCACCGUCUAACUACGUGCCAGCAGCCGCGGUAAUAC